UAUCCUGAUUUCCUUUGCGCUGUGCGCAUACUAAGAUAAAAGAGGGAACCCGGGGAACUGAAACAUCUAAGUACCCGGAGGAAAAGAGAACGAAGUGAUUCCGUAAGUAGCGGUGAGCGAAAGCGGACGAGCCCAAACCCCGCCGCAAGGCGGGGGGUUGUAGGACUCCAAUGUGGGAUCCCGUUAGAUAGUGGAAUGACUCGGAAUAGUCAAUCAAAGAAAGUGAUAAUCUUGUACACGAAAUCUAACGGGGCUCUAGGAGUAUCCUGAGUACCUCGGGACACGCGAAAUCCUGUGGGAAUCCACCCAGACCGCUGGGUAAGGCUAAAUACCGACUCUGACCGAUAGUGAACUAGUACCGCGAGGGAAAGGUUAAAAGAUGAGUGAGACACUCAGUGAAAUAGAACCUGAAACUGUUUGCGAACAAACCGAGAGAGCCCUGUCGUAAGACUGGGGUGAUCUCGUGCCUAUUGAAGAAUGAACCGGCGAGUAAUCGUUGUGUACUUUUGGCUUAAGCAACUUAUGUUGCGGAGGCAUAGUGAAAGCGAGGGUGAAUAGCCCGACUUUGUACACAGUGGUUGGCCCGAAACCAGGUGAUCUAUCCAUGAGCAGGGUGAAUCCGGCAGAAAUGCCGAGAGGAGGCCCGCACCCGUUGUUGCUGCAAUAACUUGGGAUGACUUGUGGAUAGGGGUAAAAUGCCAAUCGAACCUGGAGAUAGCUGGUUCUCCCCGAAAGGUCUAAAGGGACCGUCUCUUGUGAUAAUUUUACUGGGGUAGAGCACUGGAUGGGACAUCAAGCGUAAGCGAGAUGUUUCAAUCAAACUCCGAAUACAGUAAAGGAACCCAAGGGCAAACAGUCGCAUCGGGCUAAGCUGAUGCGGCGAAAGGGAAACAUCCCAGACUCUCGGCUAAGGUCUCUAAAUUUUGACUAAGUUUGAAAGGAAGUUAUCGUCCCCAGACACCCAGGAGGUUGGCUCAGAAGCAGCCAUCCUUUAAAGAAAGCGUAAUAGCUCACUGGCUGACACGCCUCGCGCGACGCAAGUCGAUGCGGGUUGGACGGUAGCGCCGAAGAUUCAUCGAGGAUUAAGUCAAAUACCGAAGCCAGAGAUGCUCGUGCAUGGCACGAGAAUUUUUAAUUUUUAAUUUUUAAUUUGAAAUGAAUUUUAAAAAUCUGAAUGUUUUAAACAUUUAGAAAUUAAGAUUUCAUUAUAAAUUUUAAAUUUCAAAUUUGAAUUUCUCCUGCUGUGCAGGAGUGUGGUAGGGGAGCGUUCUGUACGCUUUGAAGGUGAGUCGUAAGGCUUGCUGGAGUAUACAGAAGUGAGAAUGCCGGUUUGAGUAGCGUAUAUACAAGUGAGAAUCUUGUACACCGAAUGUCCAAGGUUUCCGUCGCAAGGUUCGUCCGCGACGGGUUAGUCGGCUCCUAAGGCGAGGCCGUAAAGGCGUAGUCGAUGGACAAGCAGUUAAUAUUCUGCUACUUCUGUUAAAUCGCAAGGCGUGCUUCGCACGCAGUACAUAGCACAAAAGGACAUAGAACAUAGGGAAAAAACGAAAGAGAAAUCUUUUGUCUUUCCUUUUUACUUUGUUCUAAACUGCUGUGUUCUGCCUGCGGAGCAGGCGAGUUGGGGACUGACCAACAUAGAGGAUACAGGCUCGUUAUUGAUUCGAGUAUAAGCUGUUAAGUAGUUUUAAUUGGUAAAUCCGUUGAAACGUUUAACCUAAGCAGUGAUAUAAAGUGUUCCGCAAGGGAUGCAAUCUGUAAAACUUUAAGUUGUCAAAAAAGGUUCGCAACGAGAUUUAGGAGAAGCCGUACCACAAACCGACACUGGUGGACUGGUCGAGAAGACUAAGGUGAGCGAGUGAAGGAGGUUUAAGGAACUCGGCAAAAAAGCUGGACGUAAGUUCGCAAGAUGUCCUGUCCCGAUUUAUCGGGAUUGCAACAAAAGAUUAUCAACCGACUGUUUAUCAAAAACACAGGUCCCUGCAAAGCCGCAAGGCAAAGUAUAGGGGCUGACGCCUGCCCAGUGCCGGUAAGUCAACGGGAUUCCUGAUAGCCGCAAGGCUUGAGGGAUGAACCGAAGCUCCGGUAAACGGCAGCAGUAACUAUGAACCGAAAGGUCGUUGUAGUUCUAAAAGUCGGCUAUAUGCUGGAACAACUCAGUAUCCAACAGUACCUAUUAAGGUGAAAAUCUGUUUGGUGGAGUCAAUCAGCAGGAAACCACACUGUGUGGGAUCCUCAGAGAUCAUACGCCGACCCCAAUAAGGGAUGAUAUGAUCCGAUCUCGUAGGCGACUAUGAGAAUGCUGCAGAAAUGUAGCAUCCGUAAGAGCAAUCUUACGAGUAACAUACAUGAACUGUUCUACGGUAGCGAAGUUCCUCUAAGGGGACCAUAUACUGAAAGGUGUAUGGAAAACCCGGCUGUAUGCUGGAACGUCUGAGAAUCUCGAGCUAGUUGUUGACUUUGGGUAUAAUUCGGGUAAUACUGAAUUAUGCUUCAAUCAUCAACUGAAAAUGCUUCGAGUGCAGAUAAUCAGCAGGAAACGUCUCGGUUUUGCAAUUUCUAUUACACAGGUUUCUGUGUUGGUGAAUUGAGUUGUUCGGUAAUUCGUGCAACUCAAAAGAUUGGCCAAGGAUUUUACUUUGUGCCUGAUCUGACAAUAUCCAACGCAGAUUUAGCCCUCCUGAAUAAAAUUAAUCGGAUAAUCGGCUCGAAGGAAGGUAUUAUUUCUCCUAUUAAAGGAGGAUAUAACCUAAAAUUUCGAGGGAGGAGAAAGGUUGAAUUAGUUCUUCAAUUUUUCCAAAAGUAUCCGGUUAUUGCAGGAGAUUUAGCUAAAAGGAAACUUGACCUCUUGAGUCAAGUUUUACCAGCAAUUGGUAAAUAUUCCAAGAUUCAAGAAAAAAUUCAAGUAAUAGAAAAGUGCCGUAAAGACCUUAAAGAUCUUAAGUGCAAUGGUUAUGUUCAGGAAGACAGCAAUCUACAUUUUGAAAAAGAUGCAAUUGGCUUCUUUCUGGCAGGAAUUAUUGACGCUGAAGGAUCUUGUGGACUGAAGAAGUCUGGUUUGCGCCAGCAACCAUUUUUCGCAGUUGCGAUGAAGGAUCGAAAAAUUAUUGAAUUAGUAAAAGAAUUUCUUAAUUGUGGAUCGAUUCAUUUGCGAAGCGACGAUGAAUUAUUUCAUUGGGAGGUUGGUAGUAAAUCGGAAGUUAUGAAAGUCAUUAAGGUUUUUACAUUAAGGUAUCCUUCUAAGUUAAAGAAAAUGAGGAAGAGAAUGCAUAAACUGAUACGGAUCCUCAACGACUAUAUGCCGGAUCCCAAUUCAUUGGGACAUAAUAUAGUCUGAGCUGUAUGGCGACAUACAGAGUCUGAUAGAAACAUCAGGCCGCCCCGCUUAGCGGGGUCAUUUAAAGUAACAGGUCUGUGUCGUGUAAGUUACGACCCGCACGAAAGGCGUAACGAGUUGAUAACUGUCUUGAACUUCCACUCGGCGAAAUAGCGAUGGCCGUGAAGACGCGGCCUAUAUGCACCAGGACAAAAAGACCCCGUGGAGCUUUACUGCAGUUUGACAUUGAUUCGAAUUAAUUAAUUGUCUAGGAUAGGAGGGAGAGUAUGCCGCAAGGUGUACUCAACAGUGUAAUACCUCUCUUUGAUUGAUCUCGCAUCUUACCUAAGAGCCUUGCAAACAGGUUCGGGGACAAUGUUUGAUGGGCAGUUUCGCUGGGGCGGUGUCCUGCUAAAGAGUAACGCAGGAGCACAAAGGUCGGCUUAGCGUGGAUGG
rnacentral:ncRNA from 1 species